UGUGGACGUUACCAAACUGUUGCCUCGGCGGGGUCACGCCCCGGGUGCGUCGCAGCCCCGGAACCAGGCGCCCGCCGGAGGAACCAACCAAACUCUUUCUGUAGUCCCCUCGCGGACGUAUUUCUUACAGCUCUGAGCAAAAAUUCAAAAUGAAUCAAAACUUUCAACAACGGAUCUCUUGGUUCUGGCAUCGAUGAAGAACGCAGCGAAAUGCGAUAAGUAAUGUGAAUUGCAGAAUUCAGUGAAUCAUCGAAUCUUUGAACGCACAUUGCGCCCGCCAGUAUUCUGGCGGGCAUGCCUGUCCGAGCGUCAUUUCAACCCUCGAACCCCUCCGGGGGAUCGGCGUUGGGGAUCGGGACCCCUCACACGGGUGCCGGCCCCGAAAUACAGUGGCGGUCUCGCCGCAGCCUCUCCUGCGCAGUAGUUUGCACAACUCGCACCGGGAGCGCGGCGCGUCCACGUCCGUAAAACACCCAACUUUCUGAAAUGUUGACCUCGGAUCAGGUAGGAAUACCCGCUGAACUUAAGCAUAUCAAUAA
rnacentral:rRNA from 1 species